AGUGUGGCUCAGGGGUAGAGCAGCUGAUUCGUAAUCAGCAGGUCAAGGGUUCAAAUCCCUUCACU
rnacentral:tRNA from 1 species